CGCGUCAUCGGCCUCUCCCUCUUCCAGGACGACUUCCCCGGCACCAUCCCCGACGCCGUCGGAGAUCUCCCUUACCUCCAGAACCUCGUCUUCCACCACCUCCCCAACCUCGUCGGCUCCAUCCCUCCAGCUCUCACCAAGCUUAAAAACCUCAAGUACCUUGACAUCAGCUGGACCAACGUCUCCGGCCCCGUCCCCGCCUUCCUCUCCGAGAUCACCUCCCUCGUUCAACUCGACCUCUCCUUCAACCGGCUCUCCGGCUCCAUCCCGGCCUCCCUCGGCGACCUCUCCAAUCUAUCCGCCAUCGACAUUAGCCGCAACCACCUCACCGGGCCCCUCCCAUCCACGCUCUUCCACGGAUCCUCGCAGGGGCCAUAUCUCCGUCUCUCUCACAACAAUCUAAGCGGCGAGAUCCC
rnacentral:lncRNA from 1 species